GAUGAGCAGAUAAGGGAAUGAGAGCGCUGGGGGAGGAGGAGGGAGGGCAGGAAACACAGCGCACACUGCCAGGUGGGUCACCCUAAGGCUUUCAGGUUGGGAGAAAGAGGAGCUGGAGGCUGGUGGGGCAGAUACCAUGGGGGCCCGGUGUUCCAGGCAGAAGUGCUCAGGAUGGAGGAAAGGAGCCCAGCUACACAAAGACCUCUGCUCCCUUCACCUACAGAAUCGUUAUAAGAAUUGAAUGAGCUGACCCCUGGAAAGUGUGUCAUCAAGUGUGCAGCGCUACUCAAGGCGGAGGGACUAAGCCACUUCCUUCUCUCACUGCUUGACUGAGCCUCCUCCAGCCCCACCCCCUGACGUUUACUGCCUAUGGAGGAAGAGAUUAAGUGAAGCAGGCCCACACAUUCAUGAAGGUGGAACGAAGAUGCGCCAGGAGAUGACAGAGAGGGAAACAGAGGAAGACGGGACCACAGACAUGGGGAGGAAAGGCUGAACGAGGCAAUGUCUUGACUCAUUCUGACUCUUCCCUGUUCCCGAUCUGGGCUCCAAAGUCUCUGCCCACAUUCCCCUUCACUAGGUUACUCAACCCUCCACCAGACUGCUAGGUCAAGGGUGGACAAACACACGAACGGGAUCUGGAUGCCUCUGGGCAGUACUGACUUCCCCUACCAUUCCCACAGCAAGAAAUGGGGGUGAUUCCAUCACCGACUCCCCUACCCUGCAGUGAGACAGCCUGUAGGGAAGUGGGACUCAGACCCCAAGGUCUCUGUUUUUGCUUUGUUCCCUCAAGAUUUCCGUUGCCCCAUGGGAGAGAAACUCACUGUCCCACCUGCCCUCCCUUCCCAUCAGCGUUCAGAUUCUCCCACUGCCCCUCUUCUGAGACUCACCCAGUCUCAUGCCUCCAUCAGCCUCAACUCCCCACCCAUGGCCUGUGGUGAGAAGGUGCUAACAACAGGACCUGCUUUAAUCUUGACCUUUGCAGCCCACCCAGAGAAAAGGGAAUCAUGGCCGAAAAAAGGCUGGAAGAGGAGAGAACUCUGGCACUAUGGGUGGGGCUAGGAGGAGCCCAGGCAACCUUACUGGUGAGGAUCUCAUGGCUCUUCAAGGUGUAUAUAUGAUGACUUUUCUGGGGUUUCUCUCAACACUCAGAAUCCGCCCCAGUGGGAAAGUACAUGCAUACCUGGGAGGCCAGGGGAGGAAAAGGGAGACGGCUCACUCUGCCAGUAAAUGAAGAAAGUGGAAAUGAAUUCAAGGAGCCAGCAGGGUUCCCAGUUUCACCAGAGCCUGAGGCUUGGUAAUAAGGAUGAGAGCAAUGUGCCUUCACUUCCUGGGAUCAGAACAGCACAUGGCCGCACGAAUGGGUAUGCAUGUGCUUCCAUAAUCAUACACUUUCCCAGCUUCUCUCUGCCUGUGGUCUAAUUUCAACUCCUUCAGCUGCUGUAUCCACCCAUAAAAUUAUGAGUGUAAAAGCACUUUGCAAAUGCUGAUACUCUAUGAAGAAGUAAAAAGUAGUGCUGUAAUUAUUAUCAUUAUUAUGUCCAAUGGCUGAGGAUUCUGCUGCCCACCUGUCAGCUAUGUGAGGCCUAAAGAGGGAGGGCUAGACCAUUCCUCAGCGUCUGAGGUUCCCGGCCCUUUUCCCCCUCCAGCUGUCCACAGCCGACUACUAAGCUGGAAGCGUAGGGGAAAGCAGAAAAAAGGUGAUUUACUGCGACACAGAGACACAGACUAAAAGAGACAGCAGGUGUUCUCUUAAAAUUUGAACCAUUUGACUGGGCACAGUGGCUCACACCUGAAAUCUCUGCACCUUGGGAGGCCAAGGCAAGAGGAUCGCUUGGGCCCAAAAGUUAGAGGCUGCAGUGAACUAUGAUCAUGCCAUUGAACUCCAGCCUGGGAGACGGAGACCCCCUCUCUUAAAAAAAAUGAAACAUUUAGCCAGGCGCAGUGGCUCAUGCCUGUAAUCCCAACACUUUGGGAGGCCAAGGCAGGUGGAUCAUGAGGUCAGGAGUUCAACCAGCCUGGCCAAGAUGUUGAAACCCCAUCUCUACUAAAAUACAAAAAUUAGUCGGGUGUGGUGUCAGGCACCUGUAAUUCCGGCUACUCAGAAGGCUGAGGUAAGAGAAUCGCUUGAACCCCAGGGACAGAGGUUGCAGUGAGCAGAGUUCAUGCCACUGCACUCCAGCCUGGGUGACAGAGUGAGACUCCGUCGCAAAAAAAAAAAGAAAGAAAAGAAAAAGAAAAAUUUGCCAGGUGAGGUAGCUCAUGCCUGUAAUCCCAGCACUUUGGGAGGCCAAGGUGGGCGGAUCAUCUGAGGUUGGGAGUCCAAGACCAGCCUGACCAAGAUGGAGAAACCCCGUCUCUACUAAAGGGACAAAAAAAAUAGCUGAGUGCGGUGGCACAUGCUUGUUAACCCAGCUACUUGGGAGGCAGGGGAAUCGCUUGAACCAGGGAGGCAGAAGUUGCAGUGAGCUGAGAUCACGCCAUUUCACUCCAGCCUGGGCAACGAGCAAAACUCCAUCUCAAAAAAAAAAAAAAAAAGAAAGAAAAAUUGAACCAUUGCUCUGAGUUUCUAUUAGGGAGAGUGAUGCGAUGUGGCGAUGGUGUGAUGGGAGAAAGGGAACCGGGGAGGGCAGUGGGGUUCCAAGCUUCCUGCUUCCCCAGUUGACUCCUACCUUGGCCUUUCCGGUCAUGCCCAAGAGGAAGCUGAAGGUCCGUCGCAGGGAGGAGCCUGCCCAGGUACCUGAAUGUCCUUCCAGCUGGCUGCAGCUGCAGAGAGAGAAAGACUUGAGGAGAUGGGGGAAUGCUGGAAAUGAAGAAAAACAUCCUUCCUGAGAGAUGGUAGAUGAAGGUGCCAUGACCAGCAGAGCCAGAAUGGGAAGGAAGAAAGAGGAAGGACUGGGAGAGAAAGUUGCUCUCUGGAUUCGACGGCAGAAAGACAGCGGCGAGUGUGGCCUUGGGGCACCUGGUCUCCACCUUCGAGGAACACCUCUGGGACGGCUCUGUCCAUGGGAGACAUAGGUGGGCCAGUCUGCAUCAGGAAGAAAGAAAAGGGUGAGCAGUGUUCUAGAACUUUGGAACCUUGGAGCUAGAAGCGUGUCACAGUCAGCUGGGCUUGGGAGCAUCUAGCCACCCCUCACUUUACUGAGACACAGAACUGGAGAGUGUGUGGCUCAGGGUCACACUGUGAAUCAGCUGCACAGUCAAGGCUGGAGCUUAGGUUUUCUGGCUCUCAGUUCAGUGUCUUCUCGUACGUAAAGAGACCCUCAUUGUCUCAUCCUUAUUCCAUUUACUGAAGAUCCAUACAGCAGAAAGCCAAGGAAAAAGAAAUGGAUAUUGUUCCUGUCCUCAAGGAUCUCAGUCCAGUGAGUGGGUGAGUGUGUGUGUGUGUGCACAAGCGGAAGGACAAAUCACAAAUGACUCCGUCACCGGCUCGCAUGUGCCAAAUGCCGUAAGAGAAGUUUCAACAAAAGGCUGUGGGCUGUUAACUGAGUGAGCGCAUAAGUCCAGUUGGGAGACAAAAAAGGGAAACAGACCAGGUGUGGUGGCACACCCACAACUUUGGGAGGCUGAGGCGGGGGGAUUGUUUGAGCUCAGGUGUUCCAGACAGCCUGGGCAACAUAGUGAGACCCUGUCUUCACGAAAAAUAAAAAGUUAGCUGGGCGUGGUGGCAUGUGCUUAUAGUCCCAGCUACUUGGGAGGCUGAGGUGGGAGGCUCACUUAAGCCCAGGUGUUCAAGGCUGCAGUGAGCUAUGAUCAUUCCACUGCACUCCAGCCUGGGUGACAGAGCAAGACCUUGUUUGCUUUGGAUUGUUUUUUCUUGUUUUGAGACAAAGGCUUGUUCUGUUGCCCAGGCUGGAGUGCAGUGGUGUGAUCUUGGCUCACUGCAACCUCCGCCUCUCAGAUUCAGGUGAUUCUCCUGUCUCAGCCUCCUGAGUAGCUGGGAUUAUAGGCGUGCACCACCAUGCCCAGCUAAUUUUUGUAUUUUUAGUAGAGACUGGGUUUUGCCAUGUUGGUCAGGCUGAUCUCGAAGUCCUGACCUCAGGAUCCACCCUCCGUGGCCUCCCAAUGUGCUGGGAUUACAGGUGUGAGCCACCGCACCCAGCCUUUUCUUCUUUUUUUGAGAUGGAGUUCCGCUCUUGUUGCCCAAGCUGGAGUACAAUGGCAUGAUCAUGGCUUACUGCAACCUCUGCCUCCCAGGUUCAAGCUGUUCUUUUGCCUCAGCCUCCUGAGUAGCUGGGGUUACAGAUGUAUGCUACCACCCCUGGCUAAUUUUUUGUAUUUUUAGUAGAAAUGGACUUUCACCAUGUUUGCCAGGCUGGUCUUGAACUCCUGACCUCAGGUGAUCCACCUGCUUUGGCCUCCCAAAGUGCUGGGAUUACAGGUGUGAAGACUUGGCUUUAUUUUUGUUUUUAAAGGGAGUAGGAACAGAAGGAAAUACAGGGCCUUUGAGAUGUGCCUGGAGGGGUAAAGUGGUUAGGAUUUUCCCAGGGAAGAGGGAGAGGAUUUUAAGUAGAUAAAAUAGUUGGGGGAAAGGUUCAUGAGUGAUAGCGUUGUGAUUUCUUCCUUUUUUUUUUUGAGACGGAAUUUUGCUCUUAUUGCUCAGGCUGGAGUGCAAUGGCUCCCAAGUUCAAGCAAUUCUCCUGCCUCAGCCUCCCAAGUAGCUGGAACUACAGGCACCUGCCAUCAUGCCCAGCUAAUUUAUAUAUUUUUAGUAGACAUGGGGUUUCUCCCUUACAUAUUGGCCAGGAUGGUCUCGAACUCCUGACCUGUGAUCCGCCUGUCUUCGCCUCCCAAAGUGCUGGGAAUACAGGUGUGAGCCAUUGUGCCUGGCAUGAUUUCUUCUUCCAAGAGUCUGGUCUUAUGGAGAGUGAAAGCCAUUGUGACCUCUCCCCACGUUGCAGAGAGGAGGGCUCCAAGCAUCAGCCUCAGAGCACACAUUUCCUCCACUGUCUCCCCAGUGGGCAUUGCUCUCACUUCCCAGCACUCCUGGUUGGCAUCAGGGCUGCCGCAAUGUGUCUCAGAGUUAAGAACACUCAGAUGCUCUUAAAGUUGAAAAUGAUAAACCCCACUCCAGAAAGAAGUGCCAAGUCCCAGAGUACCAGGGGCAGGAAGGGCAGGAAGGGCAAUAACAUUUACUGCAUACCUCUGUACACUUCACUCCUAGGCCAUGUCUCUCUAGACCUUCUGCUAGAAUGAGUCUCCCAGGCUCCCCUUCUCCUGGGAACACUUCCAGCUACUAAGAUGUCAUGAGUGCCCAGAAGGAUCAGGAAGCUGGGACCCAGACCUUCCCUCUUUCCAGGCUUACUGUGGGGCUGUCAGACUUCCUCCAGGUUGUCUUAACCACCCCGGGAAAGUCCAGGUUAUUGGAAAGUUGUCCCUUCAAUCUACUUUCCUCCCUCAUUGCAAUCUGUCCACUGCCUUCACCCCAGCCAGAGCUGCUGGGAAGAAAGUGCUGUGCCUGGGGUGGCUGUGUGCCUAUUUACCACGGAGACGGGAGGGAGGCAGGUACUCAGUCCUCUGCAGAUGGCAGCUGCUCCCCCGCUGGGAGGGUCUAAGGGAAGAAAGGGAGAAGCCUGGGAGAGUGGCCAGGUCCUGUGCCCAUCCGUGCUCAUCGCGUCUGGGAGCAAUGGACGGGGAAGCCCUCAGCCAGCCGCCAGGAGAGACCCUCUCCCUUCUUGCCUACAAACAGGCCUUGUGCUGGCUACACACAGGAUGAGCAGAUCUACAGGAAGCAGGUCAGAGCUGAGGGCCACGGCAGGGUCCCUCCCAAUCAGUGGCCUCCAAAGCUGAGAUUUGGAGGCAGAGGGAGGUUGACAAAAAUAUUAUGAAAAGCUUGGGUGGAAAAAAGAGUAGGAACUGGAGAUAUACUAGGAAAAGGGGAAUGGGGGCUGGAAAUAGGACGGAAACUGAGAGGCAGUGAGGGGGAGGCAGGGACACCUGGGUGGAUCAUGGGAGGUCUGAAAUUCAGGGACCUCCCAGAAGCAGAAAGUUGGUUUGAACUGUAUGCCCUGUACCCAACCUCUACCUGAUAGCCUUGUUUCAGCCUGUGCCUGCAGGGUUAAUUUUUUUUUUUUUUUUUUGAGAGAGAGGACCUCUCUCCUCUGUCACCCUCAAGCUUCAAGGCUUACAGCAGCCUCCACCUCUCAGGAUCAAACAGUCCUCCCACAUUAGCCUCCUGAAUUGGUAGGACUGCAGUUGCAUGCCACCACAUCCAGCUAAUUUUUUUUUUUUUAUAAAGAUGGGGUUUCACCAUGAUGGCCAGGCUGGUCUUGAACUCCUGACAUCAGGUGAUCCACCCACCUCGGCCUCCCAAAGUGCUAGGAUUACAGGUGUGAGCCACCAUGCCCGGCCUAAAUUUUUUUUUUUGAGACAGAGUUUUGCUCUUUUGCCCAGGCUGGAGUGCAGUGGCAUGAUCUCGGCUCACUGCAACCUCCACUUCCCUGGUUUAAGCAAUUCCCCUGCCUCAGCCUCCCAAGUAGCUGAGAUUACAGGCACACGCCACCACACCUGGCUAAUUUUUUUUUGUAUUUUUAGUAGAGACGAGGUUUCACCAUGUUGACCAGACUGGUCUCGAACUCCUGACCUCAGGCAAUCCACCUGCCUUGGCCUCCCAAAGUGCUGGGAUUAUAGGCAUGAGCCACUGCGCCUGGCCUCCAGCUAAUUUUUAAAUGUUUGUUUUGUUUUGAUUUAGGUGGAGUUUUGCUCUUAUUGCCCAGGCUGGAGUGCAAUGGUGUGAUCUCAGCUCACUGCAACCUCCACCUCCCGGGUUCAAGAAAUUCUCCAGCCUCAGCCUCCAGAGUAGCCGGGACUACAGGCAUGCACUACCACACCCGGCUAAUAUUUGUAUUUUUAGUAGAGACAGGGUUUCACUAUGUUGGCCAGGCUAGACUUGAACUCCUGACUUCAGGUGAUUCAUCCACCUCAGCCUCCCAAAGUGCUGGGAUUACAGGUGUGAGCCACUGCACCUGUUUUUAAAUUUUUUACAGAGAUGAAGUCUCACUAUGUUGCCAAGGCUGGUCUCAAACUCCUGGGCCCAAGCGAUCCUCCUGCCUCGGCCUCCCAAAGUGCUAGAAUUAUAGCUGUGAGCCACUACGAAUGGCCUGCAGUGUUUAAUUUGGCAAGAUGAAGGAAAUGCAGUGAACUGGAGACCUCUAGUUUUCUUCAGUCCCUGCAGGUAUUCCUGCUGGAGAUAGGGUCCUGUCACCCCGGCCCCACUGACAGACACCUCAGCUCUUAUGAUCUUUGUGUAACUCAUCCUUCUUCCUCCCACUCAGACCAACUGGAGUCCGACCUCUUCUCAAGAUCUACCCUUUUUCCAGCAUUGCUGUCAUUUCAUUCAUGGUCUCUGCCCUCUGUGAAAAUGAAAUCUGUCUGGCAGUUUCUCCCUUACAUCCUCAUCUCCACUCACCCUGCCUCAUGCCAUGAUGCCAAUAUUUUUUUUUUUGAGACGUAGUUUCCCUCUCAUUACCCAGGCUGGAGUGCAAUGGCUCGAUCUUGGCUCACCCCAACCUCCGCCUCCUGGGUUCAGGCAAUUCUCCUGCCUCAGCCUCCUGAGUAGCUGGGAUUACAGGCACACACCACCAUGCCCAGCUAAUUUUUUAUAUUUUUAGUAGAGACGGGGUUUCACCUUGUUGACCAGGAUGGUCUCGAUCUCUUGACCUCGUGAUCCACCUGCCUCGGCCUCCCAAAGUGCUAGGAUUACAGGCUUGAGCCACCGUGCCCGGCCCAGUUUUUUUUUUUUUUUUUUUUUUUUGAGACGGAGUUUUGCUCUUGUUACCCAGGCUGGAGUGCAAUGGCGUGAUCUCGGCUCACCGCAACCUCCGCCUCCUGGGUUCAGGCAAUUCUCCUGCCUCAGCCUCCUGGGUAGCUGGGAUUACAGGCACUUGCCACCAUGCCCAGCUAAUUUUUUUGUAUUUUUAGUAGAGACGGGGUUUCACCAUGUUGACCAGGAUGGUCUUGAUCUCUCGCCCUCAUGAUCCACCCGCCUUGGCCUCCCAAAGUGCUGGGAUUACAGGCGUGAGCCACUGUGCCCGGCUGAUGCCAAUACUUUUAUUCUGUCCCUCAGAGGGUUGAGGUUUAGUAAGGGUUCCUCAACUCCCUCCUAGCAGUAUUCCCUCCUCCACCAUCUGAAAUUCAGACUGGGACUCCAGUCAUCCUGUUGCUUUUCCUUCCAUUAGCUUAACUCUCCCAGCCCCCCUCCCAUUUUCCCUCAGCCUUCUGAGCUCAGGAAAUGGUGCAUGGGAAAGGCCAGGGCUGGGUCUCACACAAUGGUUUUAUUUAGCUCUAGAAUGAGAUCACAUUAUGUCAUAUCACUGCUUCCGCUGAGCAGAGAGAUAGGAGAUUCUGAAAUAGGUCUGGGAUCAGAUGCUUGAGACGGGGAGGUGGGGGGUGGGAAAGCAGAAAGGGGCUCUAAGAAGUCAUUUCACUUGUCAUCCUGCCUCUGGAUGGAAUCGUCUUCCCACCACUGCAAACCAUCAGCGUGUCCUGUCCCUUCCUCCGAGUGUGUAACCUUCACAGAUUGCACUAGUCAUCAAAGAUUUCUUAGGCAUUCUACUGGAAGCUGGAUGGGAAUAUGUAUUUUAAUAGAGAGAGAGACAUCUGUUACUCAAAACUCUGAGACUGUAAUUUCUUUAGGGCGCUACAGCUUUGAAGUCGGUCAGAUUUGCUAGCUCUGCCCCUUUCUUUUUUUUCUUCAAGACAGUCUCACUCUGUAACUGAGGCUGGAGUGCAGUGGCACGAUCCUGUCUCAUUGCAACCUCCACCUCCUAGGUUAAAGCAAUUCUCCUGCCUCAGCCUCCCAAGUAGCUGGGAUUACAGGCGCCUGCCAUCACGCCUGGCUAAUUUUUGUAUUUCUACUAGAGACGGGUUUUUGCCAUGUUGGCAGGGCUGGUCUAGAACUCCUGAACUCAGGUGAUUCACCCACCUCAACCUCCCAAAGUGCUAGGAUUACAGGCAUGAGCCACUGCACCCAGCCUAGCUAUGCCACUUUUUUUUUUUUUUUUUUUUAAGAAAGGCAGACUGCCACAUGCAGCACUUCAUUUGGAUGUGUCUGGAGCUAUGCCACACAACCUUGGUAACUUAUCUUUUUUUCUUUUUUGGACCCAGGGUCUGGCUCUGUGGCCAAACCUGGAGUGCAGUCUUGAUCAGAGCUCACUGUAGUCUCAAACUCCUGGGUCAAGCGAUCCUCCUGCUUUAGCAUCCAGUAGAUGGGACUACAUGUAUGUACCACCACGCUCUAAGUUCAAAAAAAUUUUGGGGCUAGGCACAGUGGCUCAUGCCAGUAAUCGAGCACUUUGGGAGGCUCAGAUGGGUAAAUCAUGAGGUCAGGAUUUUGAGACCAGCCUGGCCAAUAUGGUGAAACUCUGUCUCUACUAAAAAUACAGAAAUUAGCCAGGCAUAGUGGUGGGUGCCUGUAAUCCCAGCUACUAGGGAAGCUGAGGCAGGAGAAUAGCUUGAACCUGAGAGGCAGAGGCUGCAGUGAGCCAAAACUGUGCUACUGCACUCCAGCCUGGGCAACAAGAGUGAAACUCCAUCUAAAAAAAAAAAUUUUUUUAGAGAUGGGGGUCUCACUGUGUUGCCCAGGUUGGUCUUGAACUCCUGGCCUCAAGUGAUCCUUUUGUCUUGGCCUCCCUAAGUGUUGGGAUUAGAGAUAUGAGCCCCUGAGCCCAGCCCGGCCAGUGUUUUUGACCCUCAGACUCAUGUAUAAAAUGAGAAUGAGAGGUUGGGUGCAGUGGCUCAUGCCUAUAAUCCCAGCAGUUUGGGAGGGUGAGGUGAGUGGAUCACCUGAGGUCAGAAGUUUGAGACCAGUCUGACCAAUGUGGUGAAACCCUGUCUUUACUAAAAAGACAAAAUUAGCCAGGCACGGUGGCUCACGCCUGUAAUCCUAGCACAUUGACCAGGCUGGUCUCAAACUCCCGGGCUCAACUGAUCUGCCUGUCUUGGCCUCCCACAGUGCUAGGAUUACAGGCAUAAACCACCUCGCCUGGCCAAAACUUACUUUGUAAGGAUGUUGAAAGACUUGAUGAUAAUGUAUGCAAUGCAACGAGUGCCCCUUACAUCUGUCUUUGGUACAUAUUAGGUGCUCAAUAAAUACUAUUAUUAUUUUAUUAUUGUUACUUAGGGGUCAUAGAGACAACAGGGCAUGUUGAAACAGAGAGCUAGAAAGAAAGAGGCUCAGCCGGGCUUGGUGGCUCAUGCCUGUAAUUCCAGCACUUUGGGAGGCUGAGGCGGGUGGAUCACGAGGUCAAGAGAUUGAGACCAUCCUGGUCAACAUGGUGAAACCCCGUCUCUACUAAAAAUACAAAACUUAGCUGGGUGCGGUGGCGCACACCUAUAAUCCCAGCUACUUGGGAGGCCGAGGCAGGAGAAUCACUUGAACCCAGGAUGUGGAGGUUGCAGUGAGCCAAGAUGGCACCACUGCACUCCAGGCUGGCGAUAGAGUGAGACACUGUCUGAAAAAAGAAAAAAAAAGAAGGAAAGAAAAAGAAAAAAGGAGACCCAAGAUAGAAGCAGAAAUAGGCAUUAUAUGAUGGUGACCCACCGUUUUCUCUUAGAGAGAGAAUAACCCAUGGGUGACACUAACGUAGCUAUGAUGGGAACAGUUCUCAUAAACAGCUUCUGAUGGGAAAGCAUGUAUGCAACCAGAACAAGAAGAGCAAGAAGAAAUGGGAGCUUUUUUGUUCUUUGGGACCCUGUUGAGCCCUGAUAUAGAUGUCCUCUUCAAGGAGAAGAAAGGGAUAGAAUGGCCUCUGGAAAUUUAAAGCAAGGGUUAGCAAACUCUAGCCUCUGGGACAAAUCUGUCCUGCUAUCUUUUUUUAAUAGGUGAAAAAAAAAAAAGAAUACUUUGAGACACAAAAUUAUAUGAAAUUCAAAUUUCAGUCCCCAUAAAUAAAGUAUUUUUGGAAUGCAGCCAUGCUCAGUCAUUUACAUAUUGUCUAUGGCUGUUUUUGCAUAUCAACAAAGUUGAUAGUUGCAAAAGAGAGCCCACAAAGCCUGAUGUAUAGAUAUAUCCUGAGUCUGGGAUCCUAAUAUAUAUAUAUGUGUAUUAUAUAUAUAUAUAUAUAUUUUUUUUUUUUUUUUGAGGUGGAGUUUCACUUUUGUUGCCUAGGCUGGAGUGCAAUGGCAUGAUCUCAGUUCACUGCAACCUCCGCCUCCCAGAUUCAAGAGAUUCUCUUGCCCCAGCCUUCAGAGUAGCUGGGACUAAAGGCACGCACCACCACUCCUAGCUAAUUUUAGUAUUUUUUAGUAGAGACGGGGUUUCACCAUGUUGGCCAGGUUGGUCUCGAACUCCUGGCCUCAGGUGAUCCACCUGCCUCGGCCUCCCAAAGUGCUGUGCUGGGAUUACAGGCAUGAGCCACCAUGCCUGCAGCCUUGACUUUCCAGGCUCAAGCAAGCCUCCCACCUCAGCUUUUGGAGUAGCUGGGACUACAGGCGCAUGCCAUCACACUGGGAUAAUUUUUGUAUUUUUUGUAGAAACGAGGUCUCACUAUGAUGCCCAUGCUGGUCUCAAACUCCUGAGCACAAGUGAAAUGCUCAUCUUGGCCUCCCAAAAGUGCUGGGAUUACAGGCAUAUGCUACCAUGCUUGGCCUAAAAUAUUUGUUAUCUGGAUCCUUACAAAAAAAGUUUGUCAACUCCUGAUCUAGAGCAACUGGGUCUCAAAAUCUUAGGAAGGAGGAGAAAAAAGAUAAAAGAGGGACGUGAAGGCUCACUACACACCAGACAUUCUGUAACCUUUUCAGGAAGAAGGGACACUGAGACAUUGAGACCCCAAUAUACCUACGUCCUGGUUUUUUUUGUUGUUGUUUUUUGUUUUUUUGAGAUGGAGUCUUGCUCUGUUGCCCAGGCUGGAGUGCAAUGGCGUGAUCUUGGCUCACUGCAAUCUCCACCUCCCAGGUUCAAGCAAUUCUUCUGCCUCAGCCUCCCAAGUAGCUGGGAUUACAGGCGCUUGCCACCACGCCCAGCUAAUUUUUGUAUUUUUAGUAGAGACGGGGUUUCACCAUGUUGGUCAGGCUGGUCUCAUACUCCUGACUUCUGGUGAUCCACCUGCCUCGGCCUCCCACAGUCCUGGGAUUGCAGGCAUGAGCCACUGUACCCAGCCAACAUACCUACUCCCUAAAUGUCAUCUGAGGCCUAUGGAGAGAGAUAAAAAUGAGUGUCAACAUCCAUUUUGUGCCAUCCUCAAAAUAUUUCUUGAAAUAGACAUUAUUAUCCCUGUUUUACACAUGAAGAAACAGGCUGCAUAGGUGGUGGUGCGUCUGUAAUCCCAGCUACUUGGGAGGCUGAGGCAGAAGAAUCGCUUGAACCCGGGAGGUGGAGGUUGCAGUGAGCUGAGAUUGUGCCACUACACUCCAGCCUGGGUGACAGAGUGAGACUCUGUUUCAAUAAAAAAGAAGAAAAAAAAAAAAAAGAGGGCUCACAGAGACCUUCAGUAACUGGCUGGAAGUUACACAGCUGCUAGGAGGUGGAGAUGAAUUUUCAAAGCUGAUCCAUCACAUUAUGGAGCCUAAAUUCCUUUCUGAAACCAGAAAACAAGCUCCCAAAGAGAGCAAGUGGCUAGCUUUUUUUUUUUUUUUUUAAGACAGUCUCCCUGUGUCACCCAAGCUGGAGUACAGUGGCACAAUCUCGGCCACUGCCUCCCAGAUACAAGUGAUUCUCCUGCCUCAGCCUCCUGAGUAGCUGGGAUUACAGGCAUGCACCACCAUGCCUGGUUAAUUUUUAUAAUUUUAGUAGAGAUGGGGUUGCUCCGUGUUGGCCAGGCUGGUCUUGAACUCCUGACCUGAAGCAAUUCAACCAUCUUGGUCUCCCAAAGUUCUGGGAUUACAGACCUGAGCCACUGCGCCUGGCCUAUCAAGUGGCAAGCUUUUCUUUUUUUUUUUCUUUCAAGAUAGAGUCUCACUCUGUCACCUGGGCUGGAGUGCAAUGGCGCUAUCUUGGCUCACUGCAACCUCUGCUUCCCAGGUUCAAGCAACUUUCCUGCCUCAGCCUUCUGAGUAGUUGAAAUUACAGGCACCCACCAUCGUGCCCAGCUAAUUUUUGUAUUUUUGUAGAGAAGGGGUUUUCACCAUGUUUCCCAGGCUGGUCUUGAACUCCUGACCUCAGGUGAUCUGCUCACCUUAGCCUCCCAAAGUGCGGGGAUUACAGGCAUGAGCCACCACGCCAGGCCAAGUGGCUAGCUUUGAAAGAAAUCUGGCAACACUGUUUUUACCCACCUUAUUCCUACCUCCCUGACCUCAGCCAAAGAAAGGAAGCAGCUUCCAAGAGAAAUAAGACAAGGGUCCCAAAGAAGUGAAAUGUAUCCUUUCGUCAGCUUAGGCCUCUGAACGAGGUGAUGGGGAACAGACGGUGUUUGCUGGUUGUGUUUGCUGCCAGCAAACACUGAACAUCAGGGAGGAACUGCUGGAGCAACCACACAGCCAGGCGCUGUGGCCUGGAGGCAAUGCUGGCUGGCCCUUUUGCAGCCUGAGCAGCUUUCUGAGUUUGGCUGUGGGAUCCUAAAUCUACCAAGGUGGCCGAUGUUGGAGAAGACCCAAGAGAACUGGAUAAGAAAGACUGAGGAGGAAGAGAGAGGGCAAAUGGCAUGUCGUACUGGGCUCUCCUCCAGAUCUCCUGGGCACGGGCAGGGGUGGGGGGAGCACAGGGUCACAAAAACUCUUUGAUGGUUCAAAAUUUAACCUAACAUUUCUUCUCCUGUAGAAAGUAAACCAUUAAUCCAACAGUGCCCUGCAAAGAAGGUAAAGCAAAGCUUCUCUUCACCUCAGAUAAAGAAGGUCCCGGGAGAUACAGUGCCUUCCCACCUGCUCCCUAGAUACCCCAUUCCAGGAUAGGAGCACCCGAGUCUCUGAUACCCUCCUGCUUCACCCAUCUGCCUGACUUGGCUGAACGCAGGUGUCCUGGAACUCUUUCUCUCACCUUCCUGUCCACUGCCAGAGAGUAGUAAAAUUCCAAAAAUGAAAGGCAAGUAAAAGAUACAGAGGAUCCAUUCAUUCAGCAAAGAUUACUUUAGCACCUUCUAGGUAUUAGGCACAGAGAAGAGGACCCAGAAAGGUCUUUGCACAAACACAAACACAAUGGCGAGACCUGGCUACUAUCCCUCAGUGGGGCAGAGGCCAGUAUGGGCAAAAGCCAUUUGUCCAUCAGCUUCCGGGUUGUCUCCUGAGAGACACUGUAUGCAGAGGCCAGUAUGGGCAAAAGCCAUUUGUCCAUCAGCUUCCGGGUUGUCUCCUGAGAGACACUGUACUUAGUUCUGGAAUUUCAGAGCAUCUGCAGAACUCUAAUGUAACCGCACCCCGCCCCACUAAGCCAGCUGCAGGCAUCUCAGACGCUCCCCCUAAAUCAUCCCCGUGUCGUUGAUGUACUAGUUUCAUAAGCUGGUCAGGAAUUUUGCUGAUCUGGGCUUCCAAGUAUGACCCCCUUUUUUUUUUAAUUGGCUAGUAAACUGAACUUAGGGACCCUGCCCUCUUCCCUCCUGCUGGACCUGUAGCUGUAUGCUUAGUCCAACAGGGGCUUGGGACCCAGAAUAGCCCUUCGUCUGUGGGGGACAGGGAAGAAAAGGGUCAAGACCAACCUCCUGCCAGUUCCCUGGCAUGUGUUCUGGGUGCUACGCCAGACGGGUGGGGCAAGAGAGGGUCUGAGGGUAAGGACUCAGGAAGGGAAGAGGGAAACUCACCAGACCUGGGAGAUAUCCCAAAGAUGGGGGACCUGCUUCUGUCCUCAGUUGGUGACUUUAGUGCGGGACAAAGUCCUGUUUCAGGUGGCCCCCUUAAAAACCCAGUCCAGCACCUUAGUUGGGGGCACCUCUCUCUUGGUCCUUUUAAGGGAGCUGCUCAUGGUCCAGAAGUUUGCAUAGGAGAAAGAGGGGACUCAGUCCAGUCCAGACCAGCUGCCUCUUCAACCACUAUAGCCCUUCCCUUCCCCGCCCCACUUCAAACACCCUAAACAGUGCUGUGCCCAGGCCCUUAACCCUUUCAGUGCCACCACUGAUCCCAGGGACUCCUGGGUCCCUCUGUCCUCAGCAUUUCCUGAACACAGAGUGACCACAUAGAAUUUAGACUUGUGUGGAAACAGGUAUAAGAAGCCAUGCUGGGGUCACCCUGAGGAGAGAGUAUGUAGGAACCUGACAGCCCAGGGAACAUUCACCCUCCCUCCAGGAGGGUCAGGGAUAAACUGGGGAGGGGAGAAAGCAGACAUCUCAGGGAAAGAAACAGAUGCCACUGGAAACCUACUUAACAGCAGGGUCCUCAGCGGGGCAGUGGGGGGGUUCUUCAUCCAGCUCCAAAACUGAUGGUCCACCAGGCUCCGUGGCUCAUGCCUAUACUCCCAGCACUUUGGGAGGCCGAGGAGGGAUAACGAGGUCAGGAGUCAGAGACUAGCCUGGCCAACAUGGUGAAACCCGUCUCAACUAAAAAUACAAAAAUUAGCCUGGCGUGGUGGUGCACACCUGUAAUCCCAGCUAAUGGGGAGGCUGAGGCAGGAGAAUCAAUUGAACGUGGGAUGCACAGUUUAUAGCAAGCCAGGGUCACACCACUGUACUCAAGCCUGGGCAACGGAGUGAGACUCCAUCUCAAAACAAACAAACAAAAAACCCUGAUUGUCGGUCCCUUUAAGAGGCAGGUUAUGGCAAUGGAGGAAAGAUUGUAUUUUUUUUUGUGAUGAAAGUACAGGGUGGAGCGUUACAAGGCAGCUGCACUGAGAAGGGCCCUAGCGUCAGCACCAGGAACCGAAGUGACCAAGCAACUCAGCAUACCCAGGGCUCAUGGCUUGUUGUGGAUACCAGCGGGAUAUUGACUGGCUCCUCCACUCUCUUCCCAGAUAACAGCUUCUGGGGCGGGGCAGGGGCUGACUCACCUUCUCCGCUUUCCCUGGGGCAGAGGACAGCUGGGGCGGAAGUCGGACUUCCUCAGGGAGGAGCCUCAGUUUGGUACCCAGCCUCCAGGAAGGAUGUGGGAUCACUGCUUACUUUCCUCUCCCCUCACAGAUACAGGGUUUCAUCGUGUUAACCAGGACGAUCUCGAUUUCCUGACCUUGUGAUCCACCUGCCUAGGCCUCCCAAAGUGCGGGGAUUACAGGUGUGAGCCACCAUGCCCUGCCAACUCAGCACAAAUUUUAAGCAGAACUUUGGCCAGGAAGGUCCCUCUCUGACCAAUCCUGAUACAGAAUGGCUCACUAAAGACCAAUCUUUCAAGCUGUGAAGCCAAAGGACUCACUUGAUCCAAACCAGACUGGAAGAGAAGCUUCUGUUCCAGUCAAUCUUGGAGAAUGGAGAUGCCCCCCUAGUCCUGCCCCUGAUAGUCAAGCCUCCGUCGAUACAGCCCUUGUUUGCAUGUCAGGCCCUCUCUUUCUCAUUCCUCCACCUCACAUUCUGCCCUUCAGCCUUAAUAAACUACUUGCCAUUCCUGAAUCACACCAUUCUUUUCUCAAUCUUGGCUGCUCUCUCUUGCCCUUCCUUACCUCUUGUUAGAUGUUCCUGCUGCAUGUUCCUCCAGCACCUGGCAUAUCACCUCUAUCACAGCAUUUUCCCCAUUUACCUAUUUUGAGUCCUCUAUGAGCCCAUAAGAUCUUGGAUUUUUUUUGUUUGUUUGUUUGUUUUGAGGUGGAGUUUUGCUCUUGUUGCCCAGGCUAGAGUGCAAUGGCACAAUCUCGGCUCACCGCAACCCACGCCUCCUGGGUUCAAGCAAUUCUCCUGCCUCAGCCUCUUGAGUAGCUGGGAUUUACAGGCAUGCGCCACCACACCUGGCUAAUUUUGUAUUUUUUUUUAGUAGAGACGGGGUUUCUCCAUGUUGGUCAGGCUGGUCUUGAACUCCUGACCUCAGGUGAUGCGCCCACCUCAGCCUCCCAAAGUGCUGGGAUUAUAGGCAUGAGCCACCACGCCCAACCUAAGAUCUUGUUAUUUUUUUUUUUUUAAUUUUUAAAUUUUAUUUUAAUGGAUGAGAGGUUUCUAUGUUGCCCAGGCUGGCCUCGAACACGUAGCCUUGCCUCCUCAUGUGCCAGGACAGCUGGCCUGAGCCACUGCAACUCCUAGAUCUUGUUAUUUUUAGAGACAGCUUCUUGCUUUAUCACCCUGGCUAGAGGGCAGUGGUGUGAUCAUGGCUCACCGCAGCCUCGAACUCUUGGACUUGAGUGGUACUCUUGCCUCUGUCUCCCGAAGUGUUGGGAUUACAGGCGUGAGCCAUGGUGCCCAGCCAGCCUGUAAGAUCCUUAAUGGAAGGGACUGUGUCUUAUUCAUCAUUGUUUCUCCAAAGCAGAGCAUAGAAUGAGCACAUAAUUUGGAACAUCAUACUUACUCACUGAAUGAAUUCCUGCAUUCAGUGCUUUAGGCAAAUCUUCAAAAAAUUCUUGCCUAGACUAGACCACAAUAAAGUUCACACUUAACCUACUCAAUGAUCUAGGACCCUCUGAAUCUAACCAGUUAUUUUUUAAACCCCAAAAUAGAUCCAGGAGUCUAAGAUGGGUCUGUACUCAAAGAUGGGACUCUACUCAAGUCAGUUUUAUGAUUUUGGCAACUGUGAUCUCAUCGCAAAAACCUCUGGACAUGGCUAAAUCAAUCUAUUUGAUACUAUCUAUAUCAGUCACCGAAAAACAGAGAGACAGGGCAAGAACCAACCAACAAAACAAGUCCAUGGAAGCCAGGAGGGUCCAGAACAAAAAGGGUAUUCUCACACCAAGGGACUGAUAAGAGAGAACACUACAAAGCUUACAAAAUGCGGGGAGAAUCGCCUAUCAAACUCCCGCUGAGCCAGGAUUCCUCCCUGUCCAGGUGCACUGGUGGAGCCAAUCUGAAAAGAAGAAAAGAAGGACAUUAAGGCAAGGCUCCUCAUCUAAUCUGAAAAAGGGCGGUCCCAACCAACCCAAUUCUAUGCAUUAGAUUCUUAGUUCUCAAAGGCUCAGGAGAACUUCAAGAAGAUGAGGGAAAGCUUUUGGCUAGAGAGAGCUGGAUGAUUCUCUCUUAGUGUGUUGUAAAGAGGAGUACACAGGAGCCAGAAGACCUAAGAAAUACCCCUUGGUGAACAUUUAGCAAACAGGGUAGGCCAGGUAUGCAACUGAAAUUAAAGCCGAAUUCUUGGGUCUGAGCCUCAGACUCUGGAAAGAGUGAAGUUGCUCACCACCACUGGCCCCUCUACAGGGCAGGGUGUGCAAUGGAAUGACUCACCCUUGCGACUCAUUUACUUAUUCCUCCAGCAAACAGACUCUACUUCACACAGUUCAUGUGAGGCUCAAAUGAAACAGCAGAAGUAUACAGUGAAGUAGAAAGCCCUACCCAAAUGUACAUUACUAGAGGAGAGGCUGAGUCUGGCCCACAUUCCUUUCCCUUGGAGAGGAGGCCAAGAGUUUGGAGCACACUGCAAACAACUUUAUUCUAAAGUGGCAGCUGGGCCUUUGAUUUUAUGUUUAUUAACCCAUCAACUACCAGGUAGAACCAGAGAGUCCUGAGGUUGGUUCUGAAAGCAAAAAUGAUACAGGAUGUGAAAACACAGCUAGAUUUAGAAUAGGGUUCCAUGUAGUUUAUGAAAAAAGAAAAUGUAGAAGGUGCAUUGAGUGUUAGUUCUUUCCAUUCUAUGGUUGACUGUGUUAAGUCCCUUCCCUACUAUGUACUAAUUAGCCUAUAGCCCUGCUUGUAUGGACAUCAUACAUUUUAGCUUCAUAAAUUUAUACACUUAUGACUUAAGUUUUUUGAGGGCCUGGACAGUAUCUUAAUACUCUUGGUAUUCCCCAGAGUCUGGCACAUUUCAGGGGCUUCCUAAAAGUCUGUUGACCUUUACCUCAAUCAGUCAAAACACUGUUAACUACUGAGUUUCUAUCAUAUAUGGGAAACAGAAAUCUAAGACAGUCACUGGUCUCAAGGAAUUUAAAUUAAAUUGGAAGGUGUUGGGUGGGAAGAGGGAAGAUCUAUACAUAAGAAACAAACUCCUGAAGAUAGUGAUUAAAUGUUCAAGACUGUAAGUGCUACAGAAGUUUAGAUGCAGUCAAUAAAUGUUGAUGAAAGAACGAAGAGCGGUCAGGCGAGGUGGCUCACAACCGUAAUGAGGAUAAUGAGAUCAAGAGUUCGAGACCAGCCUGGCCAACACGGUGAAACCCUGUCUCUACUAAAAAUAUAAAAAAUUAGCUGUUGUCCCAAUUACUCAGGAGGCUGAGGCAGGAGAAUCGUUUGAACCUGGGAGGCAGAGGUUGCAGUGAGCUGAGAUCGCACCACUGCCACUCCAGGCUGGGCAACAGAGUGAGACUCUGUCUCAAGAAAGAAUAGCAAAGAGCAAUCUGAAUUGAAAACAGAAAACAAGGAGACACUACUCAAAGCUGGGUCUUGAGAAGGCUUCACAUGUAAUGGAGUGGAGGGAAAAGAGUACUUCAAACAGAACAAAGGCACAGAGGAAAGAGUAAGGACUAAGUUGGGGGAGAAGGUGUGGGAAGGAGCUUGGCCUAAUUAGGAUGCAGGGUCUGUAUGGGCAGAGUGGGAGAGAAGGCUGGAGGCAGAGAAUAGCUAGACUAUUGGAGGGCUGCAGUGAGAGGCAGAAUGCCAUAAGCAGGAGCAAUCUAAGCAAGGAAAGGAGAGAGUAACAGUGGAGACUGGGAAGGAUCUGACAGUGGCAGAGAAGACACACAUUGGAAAGGCAAGGACAUCAGCAGGCAGCAAAUGACACAUUCCAGAUGAAAAGAGAGAAGGAAUGAAGAGGAGGGGAAGGCUAUGGUACAUGUCUCCCAUCCAUUUCAGUCACUCUAGUCCAGAACUUUAAUUUGAACAUACUUCCUUAGGACAAUACCAAGUGUCUGGUUAACAUUACCUCCCUCAGAAUUUAGUAGCUACUGUGGAAAUUUUCUGUAAGAGAUUUUGUUUUAGAAUCUAUACUUUUUACAUGGAUACCCAUCACCUUAAACACUUAUCUUUUUUUUUUUUUUUUUUUGGAGACAGGUCUCACUGUCACCCAGGCUGGAGUGCAAUGCCAAUAUAAUGGCUCACUGCAGCCUCAGUCUCCCGGGCUUAAGCAGUCCUCCCAUGUCAACCUCCUGAGUAGCUGGGAUCACAGGGGCAUACACCAUGCUCGGCUAAUUCUUUAAAAUGGGGGGUCUCACCAUAUUGCCCAAGCUGGUCUCCAACUACUGGGCUCAAGCAAUCCACCUGCCUCAAGCCUCCUAAAGUACUGGGAUUACAGGCUUGAGCUACCACACCCUGCUCUGUCUUUUUUUUGAGACGGAGUUUCACUCUUGUUACCCAGGCCGGAGUGCAAUGGCGCGAUCUCGGCUCACCACAACCUCCGCCCCCUGGGUUCAGGCAAUUCUCCUGCCUCAGCCUCCUGAGUAGCUGGGAUUACAGGCACACGCCACCGUGCCCAGCUAAUUAUUUGUAAUUUUUAGUAGAGACGGGGUUUCACCAUGUUGACCAGGAUGGUCUCGAUCUGCCAACCUCGUGAUCCACCCACCUCGGCCUCCCAAAGUGCUGGGAUUACAGGCUUGAGCCACUGCACCCGGCCCACCCUGCCCUGUCUUUACUUUAUGAUGGAAAUGUUCAAAUGCUUCUCAUCUGGCUAUUUUGAAAUAUACAUUAGAUUACUGUUAACUAUAGUCACCCUACUGAACUAUCGAACACUAGGUCUUAUUCCUUCUAGCUGUAUUUUUUUUUUUUGAGAAGAAAUCUCACUCUAUCCCCUAGGCUGGAGUGCAGUGGUGCGAUUUCAGCUCACUGCAACCUCUGCUUCCUGGGUUCAAGUGAUUCUCCUGACUCAGCCUCCCAAGUAGCGGGGAUUACAAGCGCCUGCCACCAUGUCCAGCUAAUUUUUGUAUUUAUAGUAGAGAUGGAGUUUCUCCACGUUGGCCAGGUUGGUCUCGAACUCCUGACCUUAGGUGAUCUGCCUGCCUUGGCCUCCCAAGGUGCUGGAUUACAGGCAUGAGCCACUGCGCCCAGCCCUAACUGUAUUUUUCUAUCUAUUAACCAACCUUUCUUCAUUCCCCUCCCAUCCCCACCACAAGAGAUUUUUUUUUUUUUUUUUUGAGACGGAGUUUUGCUCUUGUUACCCAGGCUGGAGUGCAAUGGCGCGAUCUCGGCUCACCGCAACCUCCGCCUCCUGGGCUCAGGCAAUUCUCUUGCCUCAGCCUCCCGAGUAGCUGGGAUUACAGGCACGUGCCCAGCUAAUUUUUUGUAUUUUAAGUAGA